rnacentral:rRNA from 1 species
UACGAGAGUGAAACUGCGAAUGGCUCAUUAUAUAAGUUAUCGUUUAUUUGAUAGUGCCUAUCCUACACGGAUAACAGUGGUAAUUCUAGAGCUAAUACGUGCCAAAAGCCCCGACUUCGGGAGGGGCGUGCUUGUCAGAGUCAGAACCAAUGCCCUCGUGGCUCCCUGGUGGAUCAUGACAAUCCUACAGAGCGCAUGGCCUCGCGCCGGCGCCGGCUCAUUCAAAUUUCUUCCCUAUCAACUUUCGACGGUACGGUCUUGGCCUACCGUGGUUACAACGGGUAACGGAGGGUUAGGGCUCGACCCCGGAGAGGGAGCCUGAGAUACGGCUACCACAUCCAAGGAAGGCAGCAGCCGCGCAAAUUAUCCAAUCCCGACACGGGGAGAUAGUGACAAUAAAUACCGAUACAGGGCUCUUUUGGGCCCCGUAAUUGGAAUGAGUACAAUUUAAACCUCUUAACGAGGAACAAUUGGAGGGCAAGUCUGGUGCCAGCAGCCGCGGUAAUUCCAGCUCCAAUAGCGUAUAUUAAAGUUGUUGUGGUUAAAAAGCUCGUAGUCGAACCUCGGGCUCGGCCGGUCGGUCCGCCUCACCGCGUGCACUGGCCCGGCCGGGCCCUUCCCUCUGCGGAGCCGCAUGUCCUUCACUGGGCGUGCCGGGGAAGCAGGACUUUUACUUUGAAAAAAUUAGAGUGCUCAAGGCAGGCCGAUGCUCGGAUACAUUAGCAUGGAAUAAUGGAAUAGGACGUUGGUUCUAUUUUGUUGGUUUCUAGGACCGCCGUAAUGAUCAAUAGGGACGGUCGGGGGCGUCAGUAUUCAGCCGCGAGAGGUGAAAUUCUUAGACCGGCUGAAGACUAACUACUGCGAAAGCAUUCGCCAAGGACGUUUUCGCUGAUCAGGAACGAAAGUUAGGGGAUCGAAGACGAUCAG